AUUGAACGCUGGCGGCAGGCCUAACACAUGCAAGUCGAGCGAGCGGCGGACGGGUGAGUAAUGUCUGGGAAACUGCCUGAUGGCGGGGGAUAACUACUGGAAACGGUAGCUAAUACCGCAUCCCAUCAGAUGUGCCCAGAUGGGCUUAGCUAGUAGGUGGGGUAACGUCUCACCUAGGCGACGAUCCCUAGCUGGUCUGAGAGGAUGACCAGCCCAACGGGAACGGAGCCACGGUCGAGACUCCUACGGGAGGAAUCAGGGGGGAAGAUUGCACAAUGGGCGAAAGCCGGAGGCAGCCAUGCCGGGUGUGGGAAGAAGGCCUUCGGGUUGUAAAGCACUUUCAUCGGGGAGGCGUUACCCGCAGAAGAAGCACCGGCUAACUCCGUGCCAGCAGCCGCGGUAAUAC
rnacentral:rRNA from 1 species